UUAAGCGACUAAGCGUACACGGUGGAUGCCCUGGCAGUCAGAGGCGAUGAAGGACGUGCUAAUCUGCGAUAAGCGUCGGUAAGGUGAUAUGAACCGUUAUAACCGGCGAUUUCCGAAUGGGGAAACCCAGUGUGAUUCGUCACACUAUCAUUAACUGAAUCCAUAGGUUAAUGAGGCGAACCGGGGGAACUGAAACAUCUAAGUACCCCGAGGAAAAGAAAUCAACCGAGAUUCCCCCAGUAGCGGCGAGCGAACGGGGAGCAGCCCAGAGCCUGAAUCAGUGUGUGUGUUAGUGGAAGCGUCUGGAAAGGCGCGCGAUACAGGGUGACAGCCCCGUACACAAAAAUGCACAUGCUGUGAGCUCGAUGAGUAGGGCGGGACACGUGGUAUCCUGUCUGAAUAUGGGGGGACCAUCCUCCAAGGCUAAAUACUCCUGACUGACCGAUAGUGAACCAGUACCGUGAGGGAAAGGCGAAAAGAACCCCGGCGAGGGGAGUGAAAAAGAACCUGAAACCGUGUACGUACAAGCAGUGGGAGCACAGAGCAAUCUGUGUGACUGCGUACCUUUUGUAUAAUGGGUCAGCGACUUAUAUUCUGUAGCAAGGUUAACCGAAUAGGGGAGCCGAAGGGAAACCGAGUCUUAACUGGGCGUUAAGUUGCAGGGUAUAGACCCGAAACCCGGUGAUCUAGCCAUGGGCAGGUUGAAGGUUGGGUAACACUAACUGGAGGACCGAACCGACUAAUGUUGAAAAAUUAGCGGAUGACUUGUGGCUGGGGGUGAAAGGCCAAUCAAACCGGGAGAUAGCUGGUUCUCCCCGAAAGCUAUUUAGGUAGCGCCUCGUGAAUUCAUCUCCGGGGGUAGAGCACUGUUUCGGCAAGGGGGUCAUCCCGACUUACCAACCCGAUGCAAACUGCGAAUACCGGAGAAUGUUAUCACGGGAGACACACGGCGGGUGCUAACGUCCGUCGUGAAGAGGGAAACAACCCAGACCGCCAGCUAAGGUCCCAAAGUCAUGGUUAAGUGGGAAACGAUGUGGGAAGGCCCAGACAGCCAGGAUGUUGGCUUAGAAGCAGCCAUCAUUUAAAGAAAGCGUAAUAGCUCACUGGUCGAGUCGGCCUGCGCGGAAGAUGUAACGGGGCUAAACCAUGCACCGAAGCUGCGGCAGCGACGCUUAUGCGUUGUUGGGUAGGGGAGCGUUCUGUAAGCCUGCGAAGGUGUGCUGUGAGGCAUGCUGGAGGUAUCAGAAGUGCGAAUGCUGACAUAAGUAACGAUAAAGCGGGUGAAAAGCCCGCUCGCCGGAAGACCAAGGGUUCCUGUCCAACGUUAAUCGGGGCAGGGUGAGUCGACCCCUAAGGCGAGGCCGAAAGGCGUAGUCGAUGGGAAACAGGUUAAUAUUCCUGUACUUGGUGUUACUGCGAAGGGGGACGGAGAAGGCUAUGUUGGCCGGGCGACGGUUGUCCCGGUUUAAGCGUGUAGGCUGGUUUUCCAGGCAAAUCCGGAAAAUCAAGGCUGAGGCGUGAUGACGAGGCACUACGGUGCUGAAGCAACAAAUGCCCUGCUUCCAGGAAAAGCCUCUAAGCAUCAGGUAACAUCAAAUCGUACCCCAAACCGACACAGGUGGUCAGGUAGAGAAUACCAAGGCGCUUGAGAGAACUCGGGUGAAGGAACUAGGCAAAAUGGUGCCGUAACUUCGGGAGAAGGCACGCUGAUAUGUAGGUGAAGUCCCUCGCGGAUGGAGCUGAAAUCAGUCGAAGAUACCAGCUGGCUGCAACUGUUUAUUAAAAACACAGCACUGUGCAAACACGAAAGUGGACGUAUACGGUGUGACGCCUGCCCGGUGCCGGAAGGUUAAUUGAUGGGGUCAGCGCAAGCGAAGCUCUUGAUCGAAGCCCCGGUAAACGGCGGCCGUAACUAUAACGGUCCUAAGGUAGCGAAAUUCCUUGUCGGGUAAGUUCCGACCUGCACGAAUGGCGUAAUGAUGGCCAGGCUGUCUCCACCCGAGACUCAGUGAAAUUGAACUCGCUGUGAAGAUGCAGUGUACCCGCGGCAAGACGGAAAGACCCCGUGAACCUUUACUAUAGCUUGACACUGAACAUUGAGCCUUGAUGUGUAGGAUAGGUGGGAGGCUUUGAAGUGUGGACGCCAGUCUGCAUGGAGCCGACCUUGAAAUACCACCCUUUAAUGUUUGAUGUUCUAACGUGGACCCGUAAUCCGGGUUGCGGACAGUGUCUGGUGGGUAGUUUGACUGGGGCGGUCUCCUCCUAAAGAGUAACGGAGGAGCACGAAGGUUGGCUAAUCCUGGUCGGACAUCAGGAGGUUAGUGCAAUGGCAUAAGCCAGCUUGACUGCGAGCGUGACGGCGCGAGCAGGUGCGAAAGCAGGUCAUAGUGAUCCGGUGGUUCUGAAUGGAAGGGCCAUCGCUCAACGGAUAAAAGGUACUCCGGGGAUAACAGGCUGAUACCGCCCAAGAGUUCAUAUCGACGGCGGUGUUUGGCACCUCGAUGUCGGCUCAUCACAUCCUGGGGCUGAAGUAGGUCCCAAGGGUAUGGCUGUUCGCCAUUUAAAGUGGUACGCGAGCUGGGUUUAGAACGUCGUGAGACAGUUCGGUCCCUAUCUGCCGUGGGCGCUGGAGAAUUGAGGGGGGCUGCUCCUAGUACGAGAGGACCGGAGUGGACGCAUCACUGGUGUUCGGGUUGUCAUGCCAAUGGCACUGCCCGGUAGCUAAAUGCGGAAGAGAUAAGUGCUGAAAGCAUCUAAGCACGAAACUUGCCCCGAGAUGAGUUCUCCCUGACUCCUUGAGAGUCCUGAAGGAACGUUGAAGACGACGACGUUGAUAGGCCGGGUGUGUAAGCGCAGCGAUGCGUUGAGCUAACCGGUACUAAUGAACCGUGAGGCUUAACCUU
rnacentral:rRNA from 1 species